rnacentral:rRNA from 1 species
GCGGACGGCGCUGAAGCCAGUCGAAGAUACCAGCUGGCUGCAACUGUUUAUUAAAAACACAGCACUGUGCAAACACGAAAGUGGACGUAUACGGUGUGACGCCUGCCCGGUGCUGGAAGGUUAAUUGAUGGGGUCAGCCGUAAGGCGAAGCUCCUGAUCGAAGCCCCAGUAAACGGCGGCCGUAACUAUAACGGUCCUAAGGUAGCGAAAUUCCUUGUCGGGUAAGUUCCGACCUGCACGAAUGGCGUAAUGAUGGCCAGGCUGUCUCCACCCGAGACUCAGUGAAAUUGAACUCGCUGUGAAGAUGCAGUGUACCCGCGGCAAGACGGAAAGACCCCGUGAACCUUUACUAUAGCUUGACACUGAACAUUGAGCCUUGAUGUGUAGGAUAGGUGGGAGGCUUUGAAGUGUGGACGCCAGUCUGCAUGGAGCCAACCUUGAAAUACCACCCUUUAACGUUUGAUGUUCUAACCUAGGCCCAUAAACUGGGUCGGGGACCGUGUCUGGUGGGUAGUUUGACUGGGGCGGUCUCCUCCUAAAGAGUAACGGAGGAGCACGAAGGUUGGCUAAGCAUGGUCGGACAUCAUGCGGUUAGUGCAAAGGCAUAAGCCAGCUUGACUGCGAGAGUGACGGCUCGAGCAGGUACGAAAGUAGGUCUUAGUGAUCCGGUGGUUCUGAAUGGAAGGGCCAUCGCUCAACGGAUAAAAGGUACUCCGGGGAUAACAGGCUGAUACCGCCCAAGAGUUCAUAUCGACGGCGGUGUUUGGCACCUCGAUGUCGGCUCAUCACAUCCUGGGGCUGAAGUAGGUCCCAAGGGUAUGGCUGUUCGCCAUUUAAAGUGGUACGCGAGCUGGGUUUAGAACGUCGUGAGACAGUUCGGUCCCUAUCUGCCGUGGGCGUUGGAAGAUUGAGAGGGGUUGCUCCUAGUACGAGAGGACCGGAGUGAACGCACCACUGGUGUUCGGGUUGUCAUGCCAAUGGCAUUGCCCGGUAGCUAAGUGCGGAAGAGAUAACCGCUGAAAGCAUCUAAGCGGGAAACUUGCCUCGAGAUGAGUCUUCCCUGUC